UGUGUAGGCGGUUUUUUAAGUUUGGUGUGAAAUCUCCUGGCUCAACUGGGAGGGUGCGCCGAAUACUGAAAGACUCGAGUGCGGGAGAGGAAAGUGGAAUUCCUGGUGUAGCGGUGAAAUGCGUAGAUAUCAGGAGGAACACCGGUGGUGUAGACGGCUUUCUGGACCGUAACUGACGCUGAGACACGAAAGCGUGGGUAGCAAACAGGAUUAGAUACCCUGGUAGUCCACGCCCUAAACGAUGCAUAUUUGGUGUGGGCAGUUCAUUCUGUCCGUGCCGGAGCUAACGCGUUAAAUAUGCCGCCUGGGGAGUACAGUCGCAAGGCUGAA
rnacentral:rRNA from 1 species